rnacentral:tRNA from 1 species
GCCUGGGUGGCUCAGUCCGUUGAGCAUCUGAAUUCAGCUCAGGUAAAUGAUAUCAUAGUUUGUGGGUUCAAGCCCCACAUUGGGCU